GACGUAGGGCGCGAGCGUUGUCCGGAUUUAUUGGGCGUAAAGAGCUCGUAGGCGGCUUGUCGCGUCGUCCGUGAAAACCUGGGGCUCAACUCCAGGCUUGCGGUCGAUACGGGCAGGCUCGAGUUCGGUAGGGGAGACUGGAAUUCCUGGUGUAGCGGUGAAAUGCGCAGAUAUCAGGAAGAACACCCGUGGCGAAAGCGGCUCUCUGGAACGGUACUGACGCUGAGACGUGAAAGCGUGGGGAGCGAACAGG
rnacentral:rRNA from 1 species